rnacentral:rRNA from 1 species
GAGUUUGAUCUUGGCUCAGAUUGAACGCUGGCGGCAGGCUUAACACAUGCAAGUCGAGCGGGGGAGAUUGCUUCGGUAAUUGACCUAGCGGCGAACGGGUGAGUAAUACUUAGGAAUCUGCCUAUUAAUAGGGGACAACAUCUCGAAAGGGAUGCUAAUACCGCAUACGCCCUACGGGGGAAAGCAGGGGAUCACUUGUGACCUUGCGUUAAUAGAUGAGCCUAAGUCGGAUUAGCUAGUUGGUGGGGUAAAGGCCUACCAAGGCGACGAUCUGUAGCGGGUCUGAGAGGAUGAUCCGCCACACUGGGACUGAGACACGGCCCAGACUCCUACGGGAGGCAGCAGUGGGGAAUAUUGGACAAUGGGGGGAACCCUGAUCCAGCCAUGCCGCGUGUGUGAGAAGGCCUUAUGGUUGUAAAGCACUUUAAGCGAGGAGGAGGCUCCUGUAGUUAAUACCUACAGAGAGUGGACGUUACUCGCAGAAUAAGCACCGGCUAACUCUGUGCCAG